UGUAAUACCCCUACCCGUAUUCAUUGCCGGAAUAGGGUACGAGGCAUUACUGGAGUUUACGAAUUAAAUUUUUUUUAUAUUCAAUAUAGCCCUUUUAUAAAUAUCUAACCUUCCCUGUAAUAUUAAAUCGAGACCAAUCCACAUCAACCAAAUCAAUUCAACAUAUUUUCAUGAUAGAUUCAUGCAUUUAUAUAAGAUAACGUCAUCACAUAUCU
rnacentral:lncRNA from 1 species